rnacentral:rRNA from 1 species
UACAGAGGUCUCAAGCGUUGUUCGGAUUCAUUGGGCGUAAAGGGUGCGUAGGCGGCUCGUUAAGUCGGGUGUGAAAUCUCGGAGCUUAACUCCGAAACUGCAUUCGAUACUGCCGUGCUUGAGGACUGGAGAGGAGACUGGAAUUUACGGUGUAGCGGUGAAAUGCGUAGAUAUCGUAAGGAAGACCAGUGGCGAAGGCGGGUCUCUGGACAGUUACUGACGCUGAGGAACGAAGGCCAGGGGAGCAAACGGG